CUAUGAUCUUUGAUUCGAUUCUCUUCUCUAUAACAAAACUCAAUAUUAUCAACCACCAAAGAUCAAAACUUCUAUGAAAAUUGAAUUAAGAAUCUAAAACCCUAAAUAUACCUCAGAGUCGCGGCUUCGACGGCUUCGAUAAUAUGGUUCUCGAUAAAUUUUGCUAACACUUUCUAUAAUUUUAUCCCACUUUCUGUUACCCCUCUGCGUAUGGGAUUUCUUACACAUUUCUCACGGCAGUUCUGCUCUGAACCUUCUUCAAGAAUGGUGCUUACCUAUUUCUGAAUUUUUAGAGAGAGAGAUGGUGAUCGAGAAAAAUGUUUCAGGCGAUCUUUGAAGGCUUCUGUAAUAUCAAAGAAGAAAUCGAGAAAAGGAUGGCCAAGUCUUCUUUCUGGGGCUCGUCACUUGGAUGGUAUCUUGUUGCGAAGGCAUCUACUAGCUCUUCUCUCAAGUCUACUAAGAUUGUGGAGAUAAGUUCAAGUUGUUGCAGUAGUUUAGAUCUUCCGUUCUUCUCUUGCGUGGAGGUAACCGUUCAUUUGUCUGUAGGUGGCUUUGGACGGGUCUACGAGUGUCCGUGUGUAAGCGCUGUUGAUCCUCUUUGGUGUGUCCCCAUUCGAAGGUCAAUGUAUCUUAUAUCUUGAGCCUUGUUCUUCUCGACUGCAUAUCUUUUUUGGGUUGGUCGUGGUGGCUUUGUUACUGUGCUCUGUUCUUUGUCGUUCCUGUGGUCCUUUCUGCCCGUUCUGAUGUUGUUUUGUGCUCGGGUUUAGUGCCUAUCGGUUCUCAUCGAGGCUCAUUGUUCUUCGGCUCAGCUUCGGCAUCUUUAGUUUCUUUGGUUUGGUCAUGGGAGCGAUGUUCAGCUUUUGUAAUCCUUGUUCAUUUGCAUUUCUCCAUCUUUUCCUCUUAACAUAGUUGUGUUAUACCUUUGUGUUUGGCUUUGUGUAUUUCUAUGCAUGUAUGGCUCUUUUGUGUAGGGUUUCAGUUUCCGGGAGUUGUUUGAAUUCGUCGGCUUUCUCUCCAGAAGGCUGUUAUCCUUGUCGGCUUUGUACUUGUUCUGGCUUUGGUUUUGUACUCUUAUGGUUUGAUCAAUAAAAAUUCAAAGAUGACUUAAAAAAAAAGGUUUAU